rnacentral:tRNA from 1 species
UCGCCUUUAGCUCAGUGGUAGAGCGUCCGGCUGUUAACCGGAUGAUGUUGGUUCGAUUCCAGCAGGGUGAGCCA